rnacentral:rRNA from 1 species
AUAGAACGCUGGCGGCAGGCUUAACACAUGCAAGUCGAGCGGGGGAAGGUAGCUUGCUACCGGACCUAGCGGCGGACGGGUGAGUAAUGCUUAGGAAUCUGCCUAUUAGUGGGGACAACAUCUCGAAAGGGAUGCUAAUACCGCAUACGUCCUACGGGAGAAAGCAGGGGAUCUUCGGACCUUGCGCUAAUAGAUGAGCCUAAGGCGGAUUAGCUAGUUGGUGGGGUAAAGGCCUACCAAGGCGACGAUCUAUAGCGGGGCUGAGAGGAUGAUCCGCCACACUGGGACUGAGACACGGCCCAGGCUCCUACGGGGGGCAGCAGUGGGGAAUAUUGGACAAUGGGGGGAACCCUGAUCCAGCCAUGCCGCGUGUGUGAAGAAGGCCUUAUGGUUGUAAAGCACUUUAAGCGAGGAGGAGGCUACUUUAGUUAAUACCUAGAGAUAGUGGACGUUACUCGCAGAAUAAGCACCGGCUAACUCUGUGCCAGCCGCCGCGGUAA